rnacentral:misc_RNA from 1 species
GACAAAUGGGGGUAGUUUGA